rnacentral:rRNA from 1 species
GGGUGAGUAACACGUGAGUAACCUGCCCCUUUCUUUUUGGAUAACUGCACGAAAGUGUGGCUAAUACGGGAUAUUCUGGGCUGCCUGCAUGGGUGGUUUGGGAAAGAUUCACCUUUGGGUGUUUGGUGGGGGAUGGGCUCGCGGCCUAUCAGCUUGUUGGUGGGGUGAUGGCCUACCAAGGCGGUGACGGGUAGCCGGCCUGAGAGGGUGGACGGUCACACUGGGACUGAGAUACGGCCCAG